rnacentral:rRNA from 1 species
CGUAAAGCGUUUGUAGGCGGGCAAAUAAGUCUACUGUUAAAUCUUGAGGCUUAACCUCAAAAUCGCAGUCGAAACUAUUAGACUAGAGUAUGGUAGGGGUAAAGGGAAUUCCCAGUGUAGCGGUGAAAUGCGUAGAUAUUGGGAAGAACACUAAACAGCGAAGGCACUUUACUAGGCUAAUACUGACGCUGAGAAACGAAAGGUAAGGUAGCGAAACGGAUUAGAUACCCGUGUAGUCUUACCCGUAAACUAUGGACACUAAACGGUAAAUUUUUAAUUUACUGUUAAAGCUAACGCGUUAAGUGUCCCGCCUGGGGUGUAUGCUUGUAAAAGUGAAACUCAAAGGAAUUGACGGGGGCCCGCACAAGCGGAGGAGCAUGUGGUUUAAUUCGACGGUACACGAAGAACCUUACCAGGAUUUGACAUGCUAGAUAGUUGCUUGAAAGAGUAACGUGCCGUAAGGAAUCUAGACACAGGUGGUGCAUGGCUGUCGUCAGUUCGUUUUGUGAAAUGUUGGGUUAAGUCCCGCAACGAACGCAACCCAUGUCUUUAGUUAUUUUCUAAAGAGACUGCCUGUAAUAAACGGGAGGAAGGUAAGGAUGAGGUCAAGUCAUCAUGCCCCUUAUGUCCUGGGCUUCACACGUGCUACAAUGGGAAAGUCAAUGAGCUGCAAAUCUGUAAAUUUAAGCAAAUCUCUUAAACUUUCUCGUAGUUCGGAUGGUGGGCUGCAACUCGCCCACAUGAAGUUGGAAUCGCUAGUUAUCGAGCGGUCAGCUAUAUGGCGGUGAAUCCG